UACGUAGGGGGCAAGCGUUGCCCGGAUUUAUUGGGCGUAAAGAGCGUGUAGGCGGCCAGGUAGGUCUGCUGUGAAAACUCGAGGCUCAACCUCGAGACGUCGGCGGAAACCAUCUGGCCAGAGUCCGGAAGAGGAGAGUGGAAUUCCUGGUGUAGCGGUGAAAUGCGCAGAUAUCAGGAAGAACACCCGUGGCGAAGGCGGCUCUCUGGGACGGUACUGACGCUGAGACGCGAAAGCGUGGGGAGCGAACAGG
rnacentral:rRNA from 1 species